CAGCAGCCGCGGUAAUACGGAGGGUGCAAGCGUUAUCCGGAUUUAUUGGGCUUAAAGGGUCCGUAGGCGGAUCUGUAAGUCAGUGGUGAAAUCUCACAGCUUAACUGUGAAACUGCCAUUGAUACUGCAGGCCUUGAGUAAAUUUGAAGUGGCUGGAAUAAGUAGUGUAGCGGUGAAAUGCAUAGAUAUUACUUAGAACACCAAUUGCGAAGGCAGGUCACUAAGAUUUAACUGACGCUGAUGGACGAAAGCGUGGGGAGCGAACAGGAUUAGAUACCCUGGUAGUCCACGCCGUAAACGAUGCUAACUCGUUUUUGGGGUUUCGGCUUCAGAGACUAAGCGAAAGUGAUAAGUUAGCCACCUGGGGAGUACGUUCGCAAGAAUGAAACUCAAAGGAAUUGACGGGGGCCCGCACAAGCGGUGGAUUAUGUGGUUUAAUUCGAUGAUACGCGAGGAACCUUACCAAGACUUAAAUGGGAAUUGACAGAUUUAGAAAUAGAUCUUUCUUCGGACAAUUUUCAAGGUGCUGCAUGGUUGUCGUCAGCUCGUGCCGUGAGGUGUUAGGUUAAGUCCUGCAACGAGCGCAACCCCUGUCACUAGUUGCUAGCAUUAAGUUGAGGACUCUAGUGAGACUGCCUACGCAAGUAGAGAGGAAGGUGGGGAUGACGUCAAAUCAUCACGGCCCUUACGUCUUGGGCCACACACGUAAUACAAUGGCCGGUACAGAGGGCAGCUACACAGCGAUGUGAUGCAAAUCUCGAAAGCCGGUCUCAGUUCGGAUUGGAGUCUGCAACUCGACUCUAUGAAGCUGGAAUCGCUAGUAAUCGCGCAUCAGCCAUGGCGCGGUGAAUACGUUCCCGGGCCUUGUACACACCGCCCGU
rnacentral:rRNA from 1 species